CUCUUUAGCCGAAGUCGAAGAAUUAAUCAGUUGCGAUUCGUCAUACGACUUGCAUAAUCGAUUUUACUUCCCAAGAAGAACGAAAAUAUUGACAAGAUGAAGAGAGAGACAAGAUUCGUUAUUUCCAUUACUGUCGUUAUGCUAUGGCUAUUUUGUUAUGCUAUGGCGGGUGUGGAUAAAGAAGGAUGCCGUUAUUUCCUUGGGGGCUGUACCAAGGAUGAUGAUUGCUGUCCUCAUUUGUUAUGUAAAAAACAAGGGCACAAUUACUGUGCAUGGGAUGGCUCAUUUGGAAAAAAGUAAAUUAAAUAACAGAUCUCUUUGCCCUGCAUUAUAUUCACUAAAUAUGCCAGAGCAAUGAUACUAAAAUAAUAAUAUCGCUUAAGAUCUUUCCUUAUAUUUGACUAUGGCGCUAUUUCUAUUUAUGUUUAUAAAAUAGAAAAUAGAAUUUCUCUGUUAUAACUUUAAAUAAAUAUAUUCAAGAGCAAA